rnacentral:rRNA from 1 species
CGCUCGUCGCGGGGUAGCAAUAUUCCGUGGCGGGAGUGGCGCAAGGGUGCGUAACACGUGGGUCAUUUGCCGUGAAGCUGGGAACAACUCGUUGAAAGACGAGCUAAUACCCAAUGUGCUCCGCAAGGAGUAAAGCCGGGGACCGCAAGGCCUGGCACUUUACGAUAAGCCCGCGGCCUAUCAGCUAGUUGGCGGGGUAAAAGCCCACCAAGGCUAAGGCGGGUAGCUGGUCUGAGGGGACGACCAGCCACACUGGAACUGAGACACGGUCCAGACACCUACGGGUGGCAGCAGUCGAGAAUUUUUCACAAUGGGCGAAAGCCUGAUGGAGCGACGCCGCGUGGGGGAUGAAGGGCUUCGGCUCGUAAACCCCUGUCAUUUGCGAACAAGGACGCCGACCUAACACGUCGUCGUUUGAUAGUAGCAGAAGAGGAAGGGACGGCUAACUCUGUGCCAGCAGCCGCGGUAAUA